UAGUUCAGUUUUUGAACAUCAGUAGCUAAUAAUUAGGAAGUCCCAUGCCUGUGGAUCUCAAAAUGACAAUGUGCAAUAUUUACUAGUUUUUAAGGUAGAAAUGCAGAAAGAAAGCUGCAGGUAGUAAUUAAGAGCAGGCAUCUGGGAUUCUUUGGUUUGCAGGAUGGCUUAUUGCCUACUUAAAAAAAAAAUGUAUAUAUAAUCAGCAGCACUUUGUGAUGGUUGUAUUAGGCUGGCUAGCUUUAUGCCCAGUAAGUGUGCAGACUGGAGGGUAGUAUUGUAGAAUGAGGAUGUAUUUUUAAAAAAAAAUUUCAUGAGCACUAAAAAUUGCAAUUUGAUUGCUUCCCUUUCCCCCAUGGAGAAAAGCCAGGUUUUUUGUGUGUAAAGAUUGCACGUCUUUGUGUGUGUGUUGUUUCUCAUAUUUGUGUGUCGUAUAUCUCUGAGUACAUGUAAGCAAGAGAACCAAAUGCACAUGCAUAUUGGCGCAGACAUCAGUUUCGCUUGGUCCAGUUUCAUGUUCCCCUCUCAGCAGCUUCGAAGGGAUGCACUGCCAUAGCUGGUUGACUAGUAACAUGUACCAUCUGUGAUGAUAUACAUUCACCUUCUUAUGGAUGGGGAGUUGUGUUCUCAUUACAGGAGGAUACCUUCUGUGGAGGUAGUUAACAAGAGAAGCUAAGUUGCAAAUGCAGCUUGUGUGCAUGUCACUGUCACUCUAAUUUCCUACUUCCUGAUAGAUACCGUUGAGAACUAUUAUUGCUGCCCUUUAAUGACUGUGGAGAAAAAAAUUCCCACGUAGGGUUAAAUACUGUCAGGAGGUAUGUUUGGAAAGCAGUGGUAAUAUGAGUUAAAGAACGGAAGCAGGUUGAGGUGGGUAAGAAGAGGCUUGCUAUGAGAUUAGUUUACGUAGCCUUUUCUCUUUCCCCUUCAUAACUUUUCAGGUCACUUUAAAAAAGUGUCAUUGUCUUGUGUAUAUGGUGCUUUGUAGUGAAAUACUGUAUCCUGUAAUUGCGUAUUUACCACCAAGUACACAGUUGCCAGCUUUUCCGACUGGCAUAUUCCUGACAGCACUUAUUGCUAUGUGUCAUCCUCAGAAGCUUAGGUGUUUUGCAGAAGCUUAGGAAAUAAUGAAAGAUGGAUUCCUUAAAUUCAAGAACUCUUGCUUGCGCCCAAAACUUCUCAGGCUUCAACAACUGUGCACUUUUUGGCUUAUGAACAGGGUUUGCAUUCUGAAAGGCCUUGGCAUUCAGUGACUUUGCUUGGGAAAAGUUAUAUCUCUGCUAUGGUUUCACAACCUCAACAUUAUCUAGCAAAUAGAUUCUUUUUGGUCUUUUUAAAUUGAGUUUAACCACAGUGAAGGCCAUUUGUAUCCAAUUCUAUGGCAUGUAUAUCCUCCUUUGAAAAGUUAAUGUGUUGCAUAAACCAUUACUUAACACAGGAAGAAUCUCUCAUGCAAUCAUCUUUCAUGCAAACUGCAGAAAAUCAAAAUUAUAUACAAGAACUUGAUUGUAACAUCUGUGUAAUUCCACUCACCAGGUGAACAAAAAUGUAUAAUUCUGAUCUAUUUAUGUAAAGGUUUUCCAAUGCUGCAUUCAACAGUCUGCAGUUCUGACCAUCUGUUGGAUAUUUGCAGUGUUCUCAUAGCCGUGUUGUUCCCAGGGCGUGGGAGAGACAAGGUGGGUGAGGUAAUGUCUUCUAUUGGACCAACUUCUGUUGGUGAAAGAGUUAGACUUUUUUGCUCUGCGGAGCUCUUCUUCAGGUCUUACCAUAUCUCUGUAUCAUCAUAUAUCUACUUUUUAGUUAUCUUUUUGCUACCGUUUUAUAGUAUUUUUAUAUGUAAUCCUAUUUUACUAUACAGCUUCAAAAAAUUUUCAAUUGAUGCAUAUUUGUUUACAAGACACAUCUCAAUGUUGUAUCAAGAGGCUAUCUUGGUAUGUGUCAAACAAAAAAUAAACUAAUUCAGUAGUUAAGGGACACUGUCACAGUUGACAGACAUUAAAACUUGAUAUUUGGGUUUGUGGGUAUCUGCAAGGAUUUUGCUUGGCAUCUUUCCUUCUCAUGCAAGAAAUAUACCUAAAUUCUGGUCUUUGAGACCUACGGUUAUGUAUAUUUUUAUUCUGUCUUAAGAAUGGUGCCCAGGGCAUAAUAUGUCCAUUAUUGUAAAGAAAACCCAGGACCCACCAGCAAAGUUGAAAGUGCCAUCACUGUUGCAAUCCUGGUCUUUGGGAAGCUGAUUUGGGAUACCUGAAAAAUAAAAAGGUACAGGGUGACCUGCUAAAAUAGGAAGUCUCUUGAGGAACUGAUUUUAACUUAACGAUAGUGGAUACCAGUGACUGCUGCUUAUUCUGGACAGUAUUAGCAAAAGUUUCACUUCAUGUGGAAGCAUUUGGCUAGUGCCAGUGGCUUAAGUGGUGGUGGUUAUGUAAAAUACCAAGUUUUGGUCCUUUCAGUACAGACACUGCCAAAUGAAGAUUUAGAGGUGGAAUACAGUGACAGUUGCUUUUAUUCUUUUAAUAUUAUAUGCAGUUUUUGAAGACUUUUGUUUUUAAAGGUCUUCCCUUAAUUGGAACUGUUGGGUCAUGGCAGUGAAUUGCCUAGUGAGAGAAUUCUACUAGGUAAUAAAAUGGCUAUGCUGUGAGCUAGUCAUUCUUGAUAGGGCCUCUUUUAAAGGGUGGUGGUUCAGUACAGAGAAAAGUCUUUCAAGAUGACACCUUGUUUGUGUAUUCUUCUCCCCAUAACCUGCUAUCAGCAACAAGAACUUAAUGCUUUGGGCACUACAGAGCAAUUGUAAUUGCAGGAAAGAAAGCAGCCUUGCAGUCUGCCUUGUGCAUCAACCGGCUUGCUGUUUAAAUUUUUUGGCCCUGUCUCUGGUGGUUCAUGAAGCAGAAAGAACAGAACUUUAUCUUCAGAUGACUGAUGGAGCUUCAAGUUAGAAACGCCAUGACUUUGGCUUGUGAAAUGAACAUAUUCAUAUCAGAGAACAGAGUCAAUGCGGAUCCUUUCUGGAGGACACAGCUUUGCUGACAGUGAUCAUGCUUUUAAAAAAGUGAUACCAGUGUUACCAGAUGGCCUUAUAUACGUCAGAGUGUUUGUGAUAGGUACAGUUGCGUAUUUAAUACUUAUCCCUUCUCUUACUUUUGUGUGUAUAGCUGAGAUGUAUAGUCUUAGUGCUUGAGAUAAGCAUACAAGAAAACUCUCCACUUGUAUUUUGAGGACUGACUUGAGCACUGGUUAUCUGCUUUGAGCUGUAUUAAGACCGCAGGAAAUACUGACAGAAAACUCUAAAGAGAGUUAAUGAGCAUGAGACUUAGUGUGGGGGUAUUUUGAGCAAGCUGAUGCUCUGUUGAUGGAAAGUUUGAAUUGUGGGGCAGAUCUAUAGCUGGUGUAACUUGGAAUAAUUGACUCCAGUAGACCUGAGCUGAUGUACACCAGCAGAGAAUCUGGCCCUGUAGCUUUUUAUCUAAAAGGCUCAGAGCAGGGGGACAUGAGUUAAUUUUGGGAGAACUUAAGCAACAUGGUCAGUUAUGGUAACAUGACACAGUAACUUUUUAAAAUUAAUAAAGUAUAAUAGGUUCAGUGUUUGUCAGUAACUUCAGAUUUAAAUUUGCUUUGUUUACAAGUCGGAAAACAAAACAAAAACCCUGCAAACUCAAACUAAGAUCUGAAAAUUGAGCUGGGUUACUUUCUUUGCGUACAGGGCCAGCUCCAGGGUUUUUGCUGCCCCAAGCGGCAGGGGAGAGGGGGAUGCCGCGAAUGCGAUCGGCGGCACUUCGGUGGCAGGUCCUUCCCUCCGAGAGGGACCCACCGCCGAAAAGAGCCCGAUAUGCCACCCCUUCCCCUUGGCCGCCCCAAGCACCUGCUUGCUGAGCUGGUGCCUGGAGCCGACCCUGUUUAUGUAUCACCCCCUGUGGACGAUGUCUGUAGCCUAACUCUGCAGUUGUUUUCAUUGAUGCAGCCCUUUUGUCUUCACUGAUGGUGAACUCGUGGAGCAGAGGGCAGAAUUAUCCUCCUGUAAUUUGAUUCUAUUUUUUUAACUCUGAAAAGAACCCAUCUUCCUUCCCGGUAAUUCUGGCUCUGCCGAGCCCACAAUGGUAAAAUCUAACCGUAAGCACUAAAAUCAGCAGCUCUGACUGAAUACACAGGGGGCAGUAGAUGCCAUUUUUCACUUAUUCUUUCCAGAGUAGAAUUGCACUUUAAAACAGAGUCAGCAGAUAAAGCAAAUUUCUGCUCUGGGGCGGAGUUGUGUACAUCUGUUAACCUCCUAUGUAUUCUACACAUGAUCUUAGUUUGGGAUAAAUACUGUAAUCUUAGACAGUCCUGGUGCUCUAAUGACACUAGGGUAAACUUAACUGGGAAUAAAGUAGCUUUUUAGUAUAACUCUGUUCUUUUGAAAAUUGUACUUUUAUAAUAUCCAGUAUCUUAAUGCCAUUGUGCUGUUAAAAAAGAAAAUGCUGGUAUGUAAUGCAAGUGCAUAAAUAGCCAAAGCUCUGAGAAACUGUUCAGUGUUACUAAACCUGAUUUUAUUUAACUUCCUUGCAUAAGAGAUUAGGGAGACCUUCAGCAUAUUAAAAUGUGAUCAAAACUGAUCUGAUAGAAUUUGAGACACUGACUACAGCUGAUAUGCACUUGAAUGUGUUUCAGCUUUAAGAAGAAUUAUUGGGGCAAAGUUACUAAAUUCUAAGGUGCAGAGUCACUCAUUGAGGAAUUGCGCUGCAGCGACACUUUGCUUUAAAAGUUGGUGAAUUGGCUAAAGUACAUUCAAACAUAAUUAAGGUCUUCCCUGAGGAAUGAGGUGACUUGUCUCUUGCUUCUGUGCAGAAGAAAAUAGUGUAUGGCAGAUUUUU